AUAUCAAAGCUAACCCUGUUUGCUAAAAGGAGAUUGAUUUGGCUACUGUUCACUUCACGGUUUAUCAAAUCAGGAUUAGCCACGUACAGAUUUUGUCCUGUAGAUACACUGGGUACUGUAAUAAAUUUGAACAAGUUUGCUGAAACCUCAGCGAUCCGGGUUACUGUUAAAUGCCAUCUACAGUACCAAAUUAACAGCACCAGUUUUGGGAGUCAAAGCGGUGGUUACCAUCCCCUCACCGCUUUGACUGGAUCCUCCAGAGAUUUCCUGACCUCUCCCGUCUCCACGUCGUGUCUCUAUGUGGAGUUCUCCACCAAUCUAUUGACCCAAAAUCCCACAAACACGGCGCCGCAGGACCUUCCAGUUGAACAGAUCCUCACCGGCAAGCAUGGCACAGGAGGCGGGCCGGCUUCCCCCAGCCCCCUGCAGCUUUGGCCGCGUCAUCGUGCUGCUUCAGCCGAGAAGAAUUGGCAGGCCAUGGCCCAUGGAGGCAUCGACGGCGGCGCGCUGGGAGGGUCGGCGGCCGGGUUGGCGCUGGGUGAAAGCGAGAAUUGCUGUCGGCGGCCGAAGAGGCGGCGGUGCUGCUGGUGGCGUCCCCUUAUUCUCUCUCCCUGGCAGCGCAGUGGAGGAGCUUCGAGCUCUCCCCUCCUCCAGAGUCCAGAGGCGGCUGCCGGCGUGGAUGAGGAUCUCGCCGCCAUCCUCUUCUCCCCGACCUCGUGUAUUGGCUAUAGACAGUGCGUGUGGUCACCGGCGGAGCGGCCGGAUUGGAGUGGGGGCGGUCAAGCUUGCCGGCCUCCGCUAUCCCUGGCCGCCAUCGCGAUGCGCGUUUGAUGUGUCGUCGGCCUCCAGGGAGUGAGAGCAGCCGUCGACGACGAAGUCGACCCAGGAGCGGUGGGCGCGGAGGUUUCGGUGGAUAGCACGCCAGCGACGCGCCAUAGGUACGUGACGCCUAACUCGCUGCGGCCAAGCUCCCUGCAGCCUUUGGUCGCCGCAGUUCCGUCGCGCUGCCCAAAGCUCCCUCCCGCCCCUGCUCGCUGCGGAGUUCCUCCGCACCGCGCGCAGCUCUGGGCCACCCAUGCUGGACGCGAGUCCCGCCACGCCCCUGUUCAGCUCAGCCGCACCUAUUUGCGGCAGAGUACUGCCGCGCUGCCCGCCCCUGUUCGAUGCUCAAGACGUCGUGCCUGCACUCGCCUGGUGAUGCGCGUCCGAGGCGUGGUCGGCCUCCAGGUCGUGCACCGGGUACGCCUCCAGGUCCUGCGUGGGGAAAUUCUUCUGCUCCUGGAGGAGGGCGUUGUCGGAGGGCUGUGUCGGCUGUUUCUUCUGCCGACUGAGCCUCAACGUAUCUUGGCAUGUAGGCCUUCAGGAAUCCAUGGUUUUCUGAACAAUUUGGAAAUGAGAAUACCACUCCGUUUGUACAUGAAGAAUUUUUUUCACGUUUUCCAGAAAUUUACAUCUGAUUGAUACAGCUGUGUCCCGAUCUGCUGAAGCAAAACUGACCAACAUCAUUUUGUGACUUCAUUUAUCAAACCGAAUCAUAAUUUUGAGAGCUAGGUUGUCAGUUUGUUUUCUGAACCAAGCUAGCCCGACCAACUACGAGGUAUAGUAUUCGAUGCUAAAGUCAUGACCUGACUCCAGAAAUCUUCAUGCUCGCCAAACAUUUUAAUUAGCUCUAUAGAGUAGCUCAUGCCUCAGCAGAUCUACAUUUUAUAUGUUGGAUCUAUGUGGUGCCAGUCAGUUAGUUAAUCAGUUAAGUCGUCCAUUCAGGCUAACUGUCUGCUCAAUCUAACGAUGAACUUAGCCGACUAAAUAGGGUGACUAUUUCAGUGAUUAGUCAGAAUUUGGUCUAAAAAUGCAUUGCUCUGGUGAGAGUAGGAGUAGUACUAAUUAUAUUUUGUUUACUUUGGCCUACUUAAUAUGUCGUAUCUGCUUACUUAUGGCUGCUCAUUUUCCUGUUAUUAAUGUAAUGCUGCUUCUUUCAUCUGAGGUUUCAACCAGCAUGUUCUGACUUAGAAGUCUGUUCAUAUUUCUGAUUCAGAACAUCAAAGCAUGGAGCACCAUCUGCCAGGGCUGUAAAGUAUACAUAUGGUUGCUUAUUUAAUGGCCUUCUGGCUAUACUAUGAUGCAUCUGUUAGUGGUCUGAAUAAGAACUAAUAUGAUGGCGCCAACAAGUAACAGUGUUAGUUCAGUUGUACAGCAUGUGCUGACAUAUGCAAUUUAGUCGGUAUUAUUUGCUACUCAUUUUCAUGGAGCAAAAUCAGAAACCUUCUUAAUAGCAGCCUGGCUAUUCCAAUAGACUCCAUUUCUUGAAUGAAUUUAUUAGUUCCUUACUUCUUGGUAGCUAUCUAGCAUCACUGCUCUUUUACUUUCUGCUUUUGUCUUGCAGCUAACUGUUUGAAAGUGAUAUGCUCAAUGGUGAGUUCUCCAGUUCUUGGUGCAGGUGUCUUCGACUUCAUAGAUUUGUAAUCACCGUGGGGAGUAAAUUUAGACUCUGCACAUCAGGUCAUUUUGCUCAAAGGAUAAUUUCAUAUCUUUCCUUUUUCAGUUAUGUGCUAAAAUGUUUGGUGAGGUAUCAUCUUAGUAUAGUCAGGCGCAUCCGGUUGGUCACCGUCGCAUCUCUAAUUCUAUAUAUACAUUGUGCGGAAGACAUUGCCCAUGGCUUCUUGGUCCCUUGCGAUGAAAGCUAGGACCACUCUGCGGCUAAAAGGUGUUGUAAUAGCAUUAUUUUCAUCUGCAGGACCACUCUGCGGCUAAAAUUGUUUCUUGUUUUCAAAACCAAAGCUGUAGCACAAAUGUAGCAAUCUUCCCUCUGCGAAGGGCCAUUCUUUUACUUUUAUGUUGAGUCAGUUCACCUAUUUCUCUCUAUCUCAAGAAGCAAACACUUGUGUGAACUGUGCAUUGAUUCCUACAUACUUGCAUAUCUUGUUAUAUUACUCUAUGUUGACAAUAUCCAUGAGAUAUACAUGUUACAAGUUGAAAGCAACCGCUGAAACUUCA